rnacentral:rRNA from 1 species
GGCGACCUGCGACAGGUGCUGCAUGGCUGUCGUCAGCUCGUGUCGUGAGAUGUGGGUUAAGUCCCGCAACGAGCGCAACCCUUAUCCCCAGUUGCCAGUCAGGUAAAGCUGGGAACUCUGGGGAGACUGCCGGUGAUAAACCGGAGGAAGCGGGGAUGACGUCAAGUCCUCAUGGCCCUUACAUCCCGGGCUACACACGUGCUACAAUGGCAGGUACAGAGGGCUGCAAAGCCGCGAGGUAGGGCGAAUCCCAGAAAACCUGUCUCAGUCCGGAUUGAAGUCUGCAACUCGACUUCAUGAAGGCGGAAUCGCUAGUAACCGCGAAUCAGCAGGUCGCGGUGAAUACGUUCCCGGGCCUU